rnacentral:lncRNA from 1 species
GCGCAAUCUUGUUCCAUAGAGGGCCAGUAAAAACCGGCUCUUAGAACCUUGGCCUUUAACAUCCUUUUUCCUGAAUGUGAACCGCAAACUCCAUGAUGUAACUCUUGCAUAACGUACUUUGCUUCUUCGUCGGAUAAACACUUUAGCAAUGGGGUAGUGUAACCGCGCCGGUACAAGUCGUCACCCACAAACAUGUAACGGGCGA